rnacentral:rRNA from 1 species
UCCAGACUCCUACGGGAGGCAGCAGUGGGGGAUAUUGCACAAUGGGGGAAACCCUGAUGCAGCGACGCCGCGUGAGUGAAGAAGUAUUUCGGUACGUAAAGCUCUAUCAGCAGGGAAGAAAAAUGACGGUACCUGACUAAGAAGCCCCGGCUAACUACGUGCCAGCAGCCGCGGUAAUACGUAGGGGGCGAGCGUUAUCCGGAUUUACUGGGUGUAAAGGGAGCGUAGACGGCCAUGCAAGCUCGGUGUGAAAGGUGCGGGCACAACCCGCAGACUGCACUGAGAACUGUAUGGCUGGAGUGCCGGAGAGGCAGGCGGAAUUCCUAGUGUAGCGGUGAAAUGCGUAGAUAUUAGGAGGAACACCAGUGGCGAAGGCGGCCUGCUGGACGGUGACUGACGCUGAGGCUCGAAAGCGUGGGGAGCAAACAGGAUUAGAUACCCCCGUAGA